rnacentral:rRNA from 1 species
CUGGCGGCGUGCUUAUACAUGCAAGUCGAGCGGAUCGGGGCCUUCGGGUCCCGGUCAGCGGCGGACGGGUGAGGAACACGUGAGUGACCGACCCGGGAGUGGGGGAUAUCGGGCCGAAAGGCGCGGCAAUCCCGCAUACGCUUCGGCGCCUUCGGGCGCCGAAGGAAAGCGCUUCAUGUCGGCUCCGCGGCCGGGCUCGCGGCCCAUUACGCUAGGUGUGGGGGGGUAAUGGCUCGUCUCCAAGGCCGAGCUGAUGCGGUCAUG